UACCUGGCUUUAUUUUAUUUUACUAUUCAUUUUUAAUGUGUAUGCCUGUUUUGCCCACAUGUAUGUAUGUGCAUCACGUGUGCCUGGUGACCUCAAAGAUCAGAAGAGGGCUUCCGCAUCUGCUGGGACUGGAGUUACAGCCAAUUGCAAGCAGCCAUGUGGAUGUCGAGAAUUGAACCUGAGCCCUCUGGAACGGCAGCCAUUGCUCUUAACUGCUAAGUCGACUUUGCAUCACCUUCCCCCCUUUAAAUGUGGGCUCCAGGCAUUGACCUCAGGUCCUCAUGUUUGCAGAAUACGCACUCCACAGAUUGAUCUUAACCCAGCCCCAAGAAGUGUGUUUCUAAUGUCCAGUUCUGGAAGACACUCAGCCUGUGUUCGACCUCUGCAACACCACAGAAGCAACUACAGACACCAGGGGAGAACUGGGAAAGAUCUAACUAGUGACUUCUAGACACCUGGCCUUGUGGAAGCCCCAUGGUAAAGACGGACCUGCUGGCCAACACCUUGCUUGUCUACUGCAGCUCAGGGUGUGAGAGGUGGCUAAAUGCGUACCAGUGAGUGAAGGAAUUAAAAGGAUCUUGAUUUUCAAAGUCUCUUCCUGAACCAGAGCCAGAAGCCAGACAGAAAACAUUGGCCUGCUUUAAUCCAUGGAAAAUUCCAGAUGUUUGUAGCUUAUCAGCUGACAAGUUGGCAGCCAGGAAGAUGUUGAUUUCAGUGAAUCAAGAGACCUUAUUAGUUCCAUGUUCUGUGGAACUAAGAGCUGCCCCAUAGGGCAUGUUGUAUAAGAGGCCAUAUAUAGUAUGUGACCUUAAAAACACCUUUAAAAACUCUUUCAAUUA